rnacentral:tRNA from 1 species
GCCUGGGUGGCACAGUGGUUGAGCGUCUGCCUUUGGCUCAGGGCGUGAUCCCGGCGUUGUGGGGCGUUGUGGGAUCGAGCCCCACAUCAGGCU